UACGUAGGGGGCAAGCGUUGUCCGGAAUCAUUGGGCGUAAAGAGUGUGUAGGUGGCUCGGUAAGUCCGCUGUGAAAGUCCAGGGCUCAACCCUGGAAAGCCGGUGGAAACUGUCGAGCUCGAGUCCGGAAGAGGCGAGUGGAAUUCCUGGUGUAGCGGUGAAAUGCGCAGAUAUCAGGAGGAACACCAAUGGCGAAGGCAGCUCGCUGGGACGGUACUGACACUGAGACGCGAAAGCGUGGGGAGCAAACAGG
rnacentral:rRNA from 1 species